CAAUAGCGUAUAUUAGAGUUGUUGCGGUAAAAAAGCUCGUAGUUGGAUUUCUACCGAAGAUAGCCGGUCGGGUCUUCGACCUUGUAUCUGGUUUUGUCUUUGGUAUCCUCAUAGGGAACGUUUCUGCGCUUUAUUGCGUGGUGCGGUAUCUAUGACUUUUACUUUGAGGAAAUUAGAGUGUUCACGGCAGGCAAACGCCUUGAAUAUAUUAGCAUGGAAUAAUAACAUAGGAUCUUCGUCCUAUUUUGUUGGUUUCUAGGGCUAAGAUAAUGAUUAAUAGGGAUAAUUGGGGGCAUCUGUAUCAACGCGUCAGAGGUGGAAUUCUUGGAUUGCGUUGCGACAAACUACUGCGAAAGCAUUUGCCAAGGAUGUUUUCAUUGA
rnacentral:rRNA from 1 species